rfam:Lampropedia sp. CT6, whole genome shotgun sequence.
GUGACCUGCCGCACAGGCAGCUCAGAAA